CCCCCGUAGAGCUCCCCCAAAUUGGAGAUAAGCCCAGCGACUGUGAAAACCAAAUAUGGCGUAAGAAGGGCAGGAAAUCACAAUGUUUUAAAUUCAUUCAUCCCCGUCGACCUCCCCCAAAUUGGAGAUAAGCCUGGCAACUGUGAAAACUAAAUCCAGCUUAAGGAAGGCAGGAAAUCACUAAUUUUCCUACCAUUCACCUCCGUCGCCUUCCCCAAAAUUGGAGAGAAGACCGCACCUGUCAAAACCGAAUCCAACGUUUUCUGGCUGUAAAUAUAUUAGACCAGCCAUUUCGACGGCUUCUUCCGGCUGUGAGGUCAGCUGUGUAUAUUAAACUCAGAACUUUUUGUGUGAUCACUUUUUAAAUUUUCUUUUGACGUGUUGGCAGCGUUGUUAAGGAGGUGUUUGGAGUUUUACAUGAUAAAGUUUUGAGCUUGGAGCCACUGAUAUGUGUUAAAGUAGAUGUAGCAGAGGAUGUAAAGCUGGCUGAUUUUCAUUUUUAUUGUCAUCCAUGUGCUUGGAGCCACUGAUAUGUGUUAAGGUUUGAGAAUGUAAUACUUUUGGAAAAUGGAGCAAUUUGUCACGGCUCACAACUUCUUAAUAAUUGGAGAGAACGAGAUGACCUUUAGAAAAAAGGAAGUUCACUUUCAAUUCUCAUUACUUUUGUCCUCAAACUGAAGCAAGAGAUGAAAUUGCUAUUUGGAAGGGAGAUAUUUGAAUUGCAUACGUUUCUCCUCAAGUAAGGUUGUAUCUAUAGAUUUCUUUCAAUGUUUAGAGAUAAUUCGAUCAUUUUGAGAGAAUGGCAUG